rnacentral:rRNA from 1 species
UACGUAGGGUGCAAGCGUUGUCCGGAAUUAUUGGGCGUAAAGAGCUCGUAGGCGGUCUGUCGCGUCGGCUGUGAAAACCCGGGGCUCAACCCCGGGCCUGCAGUCGGUACGGGCAGACUAGAGUGCGGUAGGGGAGACUGGAAUUCCUGGUGUAGCGGUGAAAUGCGCAGAUAUCAGGAAGAACACCCGUGGCUAAGGCGGCUCUCUAGUACGGUACUGACGCUGAGACGCGAAAGCGUGGGGAGCGAACAGG